rnacentral:lncRNA from 1 species
UAUCGUCAAUGGAAGAAAAGAAAAGAUGGUGAUAUCUUUUUUUAUGGAAAACCAUCUGGAGGGAGAGAUAUGUGCUCUCUCUUUUAUGUGAAGAUGAUGAUGAUCUAUAUGUGAGAGAGUGUGUAUUCUGUUGAGGGAAAUAUUCCCUGUGGGACCUCAUUUCUUUUUGUUGUAUAUGUAAUUUUGUUAUGGUAAAGAAGAAAAAAUGUGAGAGAGAAAUGGAUUGGGGUGACGUGGGUUAGGGUAGGGGGUG